AACGAACGCUGGCGGCAGGCCUAAUACAUGCAAGUCGAACGCACCGCAAGGUGAGUGGCAGACGGGUGAGUAACGCGUGGGAAUCUUCCUUGCAGUACGGAAUAACUCCGGGAAACCGGUGCUAAUACCGUAUACGCCCUUUGGGGGAAAGAUUUAUCGCUGCAAGAUGAGCCCGCGUCGGAUUAGCUAGUUGGUGGGGUAAUGGCCUACCAAGGCGACGAUCCGUAGCUGGUCUGAGAGGAUGAUCAGCCACACUGGGACUGAGACACGGCCCAGACUCCUACGGGAGGCAGCAGUAGGGAAUAUUGGACGAUGGGCGAAAGCCUGAUCCAGCCAUGCCGCGUGAGUGAAGAAGGCCUUAGGGUUGUAAAGCUCUUUUGGCGGGGACGAUAAUGACGGUACCCGCAGAAUAAGCUCCGGCUAACUUCGUGCCAGCCGCCGCAGUAACAC
rnacentral:rRNA from 1 species